GACGAACGCUGGCGGCAUGCCUAAUACAUGCAAGUCGAACGCCGAAGCACUCUGCUUGCAGAGUGCGGAUGAGUGGCGAACGGGUGAGUAACACGUGGGAAACCUACCCUUCAGCGGGGGAUAACCGUCGGAAACGAUGGCUAACACCGCAUAGGUCUUUGAGUCACCUGGCUUAAAGAGGAAAGACGGCUUCGGCUGUCACUGAAGGAUGGUCCCGCGGUGCAUUAGCUAGUUGGUAAGGUAAUGGCUUACCAAGGCAAUGAUGCAUAGCCGACCUGAGAGGGUGAUCGGCCACAUUGGGACUGAGACACGGCCCAA
rnacentral:rRNA from 1 species